CUGGGAGUUAGGGAGUCAAGGUGCCAGCCAAGAGCUCUGCAACACGCAGCCUAUCUUCUGCAAGCUUCCUCAAGAUGCUGGUCUGAUGGAGCCGGAGACCUGCAGCCCCCUAGGUGAUUUUCCCCCACCAGCUCUCCUACCAAACAUCUCCUCAGCUCAGGAAGGCAAUCUGGUGCUCGCCCGCUGCCUGGUUUUCUCCCAUCUCCCCAUCACCCACAUCUUCUUCUGCAAGAACGGAGUGGUGCUGGAGAACCACCCCGUGGGUCCCAAGGAAUUCACAGCCACACUCACCAUCCGGCUUUCUGCGGAGAGCAGUGGCACCUACUCCUGUGGGUACCGACGGCAAAGCAACGUUGGGCACAUCAAGAUCUCAAGUUUGAGCAUCCCAUGGCUCCUGACCAUCGAAGGUAGGAAGGGGGAGCUGAGGAACAGCAGCAGCACCGCCACCACCACCCCAGAGCUGCCAGCUGAAGGGCUGGGAAUCUCACUCAGCCUGGCCCUCGUGUUCAUCUCCCUCCUGGCUCUGGCUUUGAGCAUCCACUUCUUCCUGCAGAUAGGAAAGCGAGUCCAGCUGGCCAGCUUGAAGCAUUUCGUUCAUCCCCCAGUGGAAGAGCCCAGCGUUUCACAGAGGAAGAGUCCUCCAGGAUCUCUUGCAUCUGGAUGACUUCUUGUUGGACCACAGACGUGCUCUUGGAUGUGAAUAUUGCAGCCCUCAAUGGACAUAGCAGGGGGAAUUGGCCCAAGACAGAAUCCCUUAGGCUCAACACCAGCUGCUCUGCAUAGGCAAGAACCAACAGCACCUCUCCAGAUGUUCCAGUGCCAUAGCAACAGCUCUUGGACGUGGAAGUCCAUCAAUUAAUUAAAAAGUUGAUUUCCUCUCUUAAAAUCAACCCUUUUCCUUCGUCUCUGAAGAUUUCCUAGCUGCUCAAUUUCCCACUAGGUUUGAACUUCAGUCCCGGGUGAGUCUCAGCCUCAGAGAGGUAUGGUUGAUAACCAUCCUGGUGGCCAUCAAGAUAUCUUUGUUGCCCAAAGUAGCACCAGGUCCCUUUGCCAACAUCACCCAACUGUUAAGGAGUGUAAAUCCGAUGGGUCUUCCCAUCCAGGUCUUCCCACACUGCCCACCAAAGGCAGUGACUCACCUGAGUGAAUCCAAACUAGCAGAUGGGACCCAAUGGUGAAACCAUUGCCAUUCAGCCCUUUGGAGAUUUCCUCCUUGGCCAUGGUCCUGAGCUGCUGUUAUGACACAGG
ensembl:lncRNA